CAGGACUCAAUGAAAAGUGAUAAGCUUGGUAUCAUUUCCUCAAAAAUCUUAAACUUUCUUACAAGAACAAAGCAAUGAAGCAAUUGCUUGCCUGGAAGUUACAUGCAAUAGAAAGAAAACAUAAGAUUAGAAGAAACCAGAGGCUUUCCAUAUUCUAAAACUAAGAAAUUUGCACAUGGACUUGAAUAACUUCGUCUCGACGUGCUUCUGCCAAACCCCUCCUUAGCUUGUGGUCAGCUGAUGAGUAGAAAUAUUAAUCACUGGCUAGCUUAAAUACAUAAAGCUUAUCUGCAAUCAUUUUCACAAUCUGUGGGCUUUUUGACCAGAAGGUGUGCUGUAUAUUUUUAAAACUUCACCCUGUAAAAAGCCAAACAAAUGGUGGUGGUGGUGGACCUAUUGGCGUUGGAUAUGAGGUUUAAUUUACCCCAAAAAAAUAAUAUAUUGAAGCUGCUGCGUUGAAGUGUGAGAAAAUUAAUCAAGAACCUUCCUUUAUUUCAUCUACUCCACAUAUUAUGUCAUCAGCUGCAAAUAGCCUCCACAGCUAGUUUCUUCAUGACAUUUGGGCACGGAUCCCCUCCAAACAUUUCAGGUGCUACAGUUACUGAGCACCAGUUCUGCCCAACACAAAGCUGCAAGAAAAGUCACACAUCGGUGUUAAAGGAUGAGAUAAAUAGGCAAAGGAAAGAACAUUAAAACAUAAACAAUGGGCCAGGUUGAAGUGCAGUUAACCAGUAAAUGCAAAUUCUAAUGCCCAUGUUUUCAAUACGUAUGAGUUCACUAUUAAGAACUAAUUUUGGGAUGAUCAACUAGGUGACCCUCCGGAAAGUUCAGAGCACUAUCGAACAUUAAAAUAAGAAAUCCUUGAUUUUCUAUGCAAAAAAGGGUCAUUGAAUUCCUUGGAAGAAGCCUCGAGUCCAUAGUUUGGACUGUUUUAUAGUAAUGACACUUGCUGUGGUUCCUCAAACUUGGAGAACUGACAAGGGUGUUCUACCAGCCAAAGAGUAUCCUCGUAACACAGUUAAAAUCAUUAUCCCACUGCACGAAAUGAUAGCAAACAGGAAAGCAAGACCGACAUACCCUGUUAAAAGCAUCAUAUGAGUGAAAGGCGUGACAGCUUCCUUCACGAUAGUUUCCACAAGCCCCUUCUGGUGUUCCAAAGCUAGCAAACUUAAUUGACGAGAUUUUCUGCCAAGGGCCACAUGCCAAAUGGGCUUUAGGCCUCAGGGGCUUAUUGACUUUACCAGAGGCUUGCAUCAUGUAAUUCAUUAAAGUUGGCUGCCAUUCAUAAAUAUCAGCACAUACACUGUCUACUUUUCUUCUAACCAGAGAAAUCCCAUUUGGGUCUCCACCCCAUUCUUCAAACACAACCAACAAGUUCCCUGUUGGGUUCAGCCAUGAACGAGGGACAUGGUACCAUCUCUGUGAAGCCUCCCCACAAUUACUUAAGCAUUUAUUCUCACUAAAUGUUCCUGCAUAAUUACAGAAACCACAAGUACCAGAUGCUUUAUAUGCAGGCCAGUAUCGUCCAACACUCCGUCCAUUUAUCCAUACUUGACCUUUACCCAUGCUAUCCAUAUCCACAGCCAAUGGAGAAUUUCCAGCUGGAGCAUUGAAAGUGGUUUUAUACCACAUAAGUGGCUGCCUUUGGGACACAAAAGACCCCUGUGCCCACUCAACUGAUGAACUCCCACUAAGUGAAUGAAGACCCAAUGCUUCUCCCUUAAGACCAAUCUUGUAGGACCACUUUUGCCAUGACAAGUCUCUCCUUCCUUCAUUUAAACCAUUCAAUGUCACUGGGCCAAGGAUUCCAGCAUUCCAUGUCUCAAAGUGAGGACCAACAUUCGGGAGACCAACUGCAACACUGAGAAGAGAUAUUUUGUUGACACCAGCUCUCAUCUUGACACCUUGACUAAAUGUCAACUUUGGGAAUUCUAAACUUCCAUAUGCAGUUCCAGAUAAUUGACCAUUGAUGAAAACAUGCAAAGCAUGGCCAGCUGAUAGAACAGUCAGAACAGGAUACUGUCCACUCUUCAGAAAGCCUUCACUGGGAUCAAUAUUAACGUCUGUCAUGUACCACAAAUAGUCUGAGGCAUCUCUAGUUGUAUUUAUCUGCUCCAACAACCCAACCAUAGUGAAUGUAUUGUCACCUUCUGAGUCUGUCUCUUCACUAUAUGCCUGCCAAGUGAAUCCUCCAUGCAUAGGAACAGGACUCAUCUUCAUUCGUGCACUUUGCGCACCAAGCCUUGCAGUGUUGUAAGCAGUGUUCUUGCAGUCUGGAAGAAUGCUGAUAGACCAAGGAGGCAAGUUGUAAUGCAAAUUUCCAAAAGCCACUUUUGAAAAUGAUCUCUGAUUGUAAUUUGCAAGGAAUGCAGCACAAGCUCCAGACUUUGAUUUAAAUAUAUGGGCCUCUUGAUAAUUUCCAAGAGGCAUCACAGUUGGAUUCCCAGAUACUAGAGCAGGUUCACACAACUUAAUUGCUCUAUGCAAAUCCUUUAAAUGGCCCCAUUUAGGCUGCCUCAGUAGUCCUGCAUAAAGAAAAGUAUUCCAGGCCUUCAUAUUGAUGCAAAAUACACUUAAAAUCCAUUUUAGGUCACAACUGCUAUAGAAGUGGCUAUAGAAAUGUACAGAUGAAAAAAGUUGAAAUUUUUUAAAAGCUUGUUUAAUAAUGGAAACAUUUUACUAAUUAAAGAAAUCACAUCAAUACUAAUGGUAGUAUCUUUCCUUACCCUUGAUAAGCAUAAAUUUAUUGUUUGACCGGUGGAUGGACCCACCACACCAUUGGAUACAUGUAAAUGGACAAGUUUUAUUAGUUUAGGGAUAUUUUAACUGUUUUUGAGCCAUCAAAAUCUUAACAGAAGGCAAAAAUGAGAUCUGCAACCAAAGUUUUUAAAGAACAACUUGACAAAAGGCUGAUAGGCAAUCAUCAUCUCAGUGACCUUUAGCUUAAUGUCUCAAGCAUUUCAGCAUUACACUUCAGAUGAUGUCACGUAAGAUUUGAGCUUCUUGAAAGUCCUUUUUAGUUGCUAUAAUUUCACCAAUUACAUAUACUACCCCACAACAAAGAGGACAGCCAUUAUUUAACCAGAAACAAGAACAUUUGCUAUUAAGCUGCCCCUUGCUUCAAGGUGAAGUGCCAGCAGCACCAACUCCACAAAUGUGGAAGAUGGUUAUUGACAGCAAUCUGGGUAUUGCACCCCACCUUUUCUCAAUAUGAGUUUAAAAGACAUAGAACAUAAUUAUAAGUUUCUACUUAAAACUAAGCAAAGCAGUAAUGGAUAAACAUCAAGGAAAA
rnacentral:misc_RNA from 1 species